GCCUGGGUGGCUCAGUUGGUGGAGUGUCCGACUUGGGCUCAGGUCAUGAUCUCGCGGUUCGUGGGUUCGAGCCCCGUGUCGGGCU
rfam:Felis catus isolate Cinnamon breed Abyssinian chromosome A3, whole genome shotgun sequence.